ACUCCUACGGGAGGCAGCAGUGGGGAAUAUUGCACAAUGGGGGAAAGCCCUCGAUGCAGCCAUGCCGCGUGUGUGAAGAAGGCCUUCGGGUUGUAAAGCACUUUCAGUGGGGAGGAAAGGUUGAUGGUUAAUACCUAUCAGCUGUGACGUUACCCACAGAAGAAGCACCGGCUAACUCCGUGCCAGCAGCCGCGGUAAUACGGAGGGUGCAAGCGUUAAUCGGAAUUACUGGGCGUAAAGCGUGCGCAGGCGGUCUGUUAAGCGAGAUGUGAAAGCCCCGGGCUCAACCUGGGAACUGCAUUUCG
rnacentral:rRNA from 1 species